rnacentral:lncRNA from 1 species
AGGGAACCAGUAUUGUGCCUCGCGUCGAGUUCAGCGCGAUUCGUGCUGCUCUUGUGCGCAUGAGCGAAGAGGACGCUUCGCCGGGACUUUUACAAAGGGAGCGCAGACACGGGAGAGGGACGUAUAAACAAACUUCCUUGGAAAAAAAGGCAAUGCUUGUCAUCUGUUAAAAGGCUUUCCUGCUGCACGCUUUGUUUGGAGAACAUAAGCUCUGAAAACUCUGGGCCUUCUCAUUGCACAACAGCAGGUGAUCUUUGUUUGUUUCUUCUCCCUGUCGACCUUGUUUUCUUUAAAGGGACUGUUUGCCCAAAAAUUGAAAUUCUAUCAUCAUUUAGUCACCCUCAUGUCGUUCAGCUUCACCCUCAUUCCAAACCUGUAUGACUUUCUGCCGUGAAACACAAAAGAAGAUAUUGUGAAGAAUGUUGGGAACCAAACAGUUUUGGUUUCCAUUGACUUCCAUUAUAUUUUUUGUCCAUAAAAUGAGUCAAUGGUAACCAAACUGUUUGGUUCCCAACAUUCUUCUCAUGUUUCAUCAUCUUUUAUGUUAAUUAAAAGGUCAAGAAAGUCAGGUUUGGAACAACUUAAGGGGUAAGUAAAUGAUGAUAGAAUUUUCUUUUUUGGUUGAACUCUCCUGUUAGGCACAGAUUUUAAUCUGCAUCUCCACCUUUCUUUUUUUUUUUUUUUUUGUACUAUUCCAUCUGCUUGUUGUUUAUGAACAAAGGCCAACCUGCUGAAUAUCUGUUAAAGAACAAGAAAAAAAACUAGAUAGGUGUUCAAUUAGAGGCUUGUUUGUGGACUUUGAUUGCUUGUGUGUGAAUCCCCAGACAGAGGCUUUUGUGAACAUGCUGGAUUUGUCAGUGGUUUUGUAGAUGCUGCUGACACGUUGUCAACCACAGCACUCUUUAUACCUUUAAGUUUAAGCAAACAGAAGGGUCCAUUUACAGACUAUAAUGUCUCUUUCAAAAGAACUAGGGAAAGCACUAUACAGUUAAUCUGGUAAAUUAUUAUUUUGCUGUCCUUGGCUUACCAUUUCAGUCAUUCGUUUUGUAGUCUAAACAGUUUCUUUUCAUGUCUUCUUUCUGAAUCUCAGUUAACAAGAAUAUGGGUUACUAUAUAUACUAAUGUACAUAAGUUUGGAGUUGGUACGAUUUUUUUUUUUUAAUGAUUUUUUUUUAAAGAAGUCUCAUCAAGGCUGCAUUUACUUGGUUUAAAAUGCAUUAAAACAGUAAUAUUGUGAAAUAGCAUUAAAAGAAAGGUAAUCUAUUCCUGUGAUGGCAAAGCUGCAUUUCAGCAUUAUUUAGUGUCACAUGAUCCUUCAGAAAUCAACCUAAUAUGCUGAUUUCUUAUUAUCAGUGUUUAAAACAGGUGUGUUUUUCAGAAAAAAUUUUGGUGGAAACCAUGACACAUUUCUUUGAAUAGUUCAAAAGGGCAGCAUUUAUUUUAAGUCUUUAAAAAAAGAAAAAAAUUUUUAAAGGUUAAGUAUAUAAGCAAAAAUGUACAUUUUUACUACAUAUAUAUAUAUAUACAUAUAUAUAGUGAUUUUUCUUUUUUCUUUUUAUUUUUUUACUAACAGGUUCUUAAAUCAACCUUUAUGGGAAGCAGGUCAAUGCUGUGUAUAAGUAUUCAUGCACCCCCAUCACUAUUGUUAAGCCUAUUCCUGCCUCAGUUGUUAUACAGGAAGCAAUUAAAAUUUCUACUGCCAGAUUGUGUCUACUGCAUUCGUUCCUAGUCAUGAGAGGUUUUACAGAGCAUGCUUUAGUUAGUCUGACAGUCUGACAGAUCCCAUGGGGAGAAUGGGACGGGUUGGAAAGUGAGUGUGUGUGUGUGUGUGUGUGUGUGUGUAUAUGUGUUGGAUGGCAGUUACAGGGUGUAAAUGUGGGGGAUUCCUCAAACUGGCUUUAUCUGCCAGUGUCCAACCCAGAUGGGAUCCUCACAGUUUCUCUUCCUUGUCUGUGUGGUGAGACAAAUCACUUCACUGUGACAACACCAUUAUCUACCUCUCUCCCACACUUGCUGCCAGUAAACAAGUUUUAGACAACAAAUAGCUAUGAAUAGCUAAGACUCGGUGCGUCUAAAUAGUCAAGGUUUCUACUUAAUCAUAUUUCUGUUCCCACUAAGCUCUCCUCAGCUCGUUCAUUCUCAGAUAACAUUAUACAGCUUAUCAGUUAGCUAUGGGAAUAUGUUCUCUCUACAUAUCAGAGGACCUCAAAGAGCAUAUCUCAGUUCCUUCUGAUAAGCUAAUGCUGUAUUAGUCCGCUUAAUAUCAGCAUAAAUGUCUGAAAAAAGCAAUUUAAUGGUCAUCCUUAGCCAUGACAUCACCUCAGAAGUCCCUCUGGACCAUCUCUACAACUGGAGACAAAAGGCUACCAGGAUAGUGAGCAGCUAGUGGAGAUUCUAUCUUAUUCAGAGACUCAAAUGUUGGUGUUGAACAGCUGGUCUAAGUCGACGCUCAACAGAUGGCUGUGCAUAAAUCGUGGAUAAGGGUUAGAAAAUUAAUUUAGAGGGAAUACAUUAGGCCACUAACAAGAUCCUUUGCCAUAUUAAUGUUUGUUUGUUGUUGUUACGUCUCUUUUUCGAUCUGGAAACGGUUUCGGUAGCUGGGAUUGAGCCAGUUGUUGCUUAUCACCUGUGUCUGUCACUGACAUCUAUUAAAGUGAGUUUUACAAAGCGUAUCCGAGUACCUCCCUGAAAUGUAUUGUUGCCUGCUUUACGG